GAUGAACGCUAGCGGCAGGCCUAACACAUGCAAGUCGAGGGGUAGAGGAAGCUUGCUUCCUUGAGACCGGCGCACAGGUGCGUAACGCGUAUGCAAUCUGCCUUGUACUGAGGGAUAGCCCAGAGAAAUUUGGAUUAAUACCUCAUAGCAUUAUGAAAUCGCAUGGUUUUAUAAUUAAAGUUCCAACGGUACAAGAUGAGCAUGCGUCCCAUUAGUUAGUUGGUAAGGUAACGGCUUACCAAGACGAUGAUGGGUAGGGGUCCUGAGAGGGAGAUACCCCACACUGGUACUGAGACACGGACCAGACUCCUACGGGAGGAAGCAGUGGGGAAUAUUGGUCAAUGGACGCAAGUCUGAACCAGCCAUGCCGCGUGCAGGAUGAAGCAUCUAUGGUGUGUAAACUGCUUUUGUACGGGAAGAAACACUCCUACGUGUAGGAGCUUGACGGUACCGUAAGAAUAAGGAUCGGCUAACUCCGUGCCAGCCGCCGCCGUAACAC
rnacentral:rRNA from 1 species